ensembl:snRNA U4 U4 spliceosomal RNA
AACUUUGCACAGUGGCAGUAUCAUAGCCAAUGAGGUUUAUCUGAGGCACAAUUAUUGCUAAUUGAAAACUUUUCCCAAUACCCCACCAUGACAACUUGCAAUAUAGUAGGCACUGGCAAUUUUUGACAGUCUCUACUGAGA